UUUCUUUUUUUUUGCGGGGAACUUUUCUCUUUCUUUUGAAUAUUCAGUUUAAUUAGCUUUCGGUAUGCCACGCCCUACUUGUGUCAUCUAUCAUCCAAAAAUGUGGUUAAUUAAAGCUACCUUGAUGACGGAAGUUUUAAUCCAAGGCUCCAAGACUAGUUUAUACACCUUACGGCACACAUCCAAAAACAUGAUUCACGAGGAGCAAACAACCCCCGGGUAUUUUUUUUUAUAAGAAGAAAAUCUUUUCAAGCAAGUCUGAAAAUUCCCGAACCUCAGUCCCACCCA
rnacentral:lncRNA from 1 species